AGUCGUCAGCGCAGUAUCCAUUCAUUCAUAACUACUUUGUGUCGCAGCAUGAUGUUCAAAAUGCAAGUGAUUGCCAUCGUGGCCUCCCUAUGUUUGAUCCUUUUUUUCAAUCCUCCUAUCGUCGAGUGCGGCCCCGUGCCAGACAAUUUUAUGAGCGGUGUGGCGGGCACAGCGGCAACAUUUGGUAGUAAUGUGGUGAGGGGUUAAGGAGUGUCAGCGACGGACUCAAAAUUCGCAUCAAAUCUCCAAUGACGAACUAUUUUCCUCUUCAAACUCGAUCAAACUCCGACACAAGCCACCUAAAACUCACUGCCUGAAUAUAAUUCUGACUUUCAAUUCUGUUCCAAACUAACAAGAGCACUCAUCAAAAUAUGUUUAAAGAUACGACUGUUACCUACUCUUAAGAAUAACAAUAAGCUUGUGCUAAAAUUUCAAUUUUGUUGGAUGAUCAUAAAAUAUUUUUCAGUUCUGAAUUAAACAUUUACAAUGCUUUUCAUCACA